UACCGUAGCUCAGUGAAGAAUUUGCUUUUCCUGCCCCCUCCAGAGCGGCCCGUGUGAAGUGUUUGUUUGUUUGUUUGUUUGUUUGUUUGUUUGUUUUGUCAGUGUCUGUUGCUGGAGCACAAGGGCAGGACGGUGUACCCGCUGACUGCACUGGAGCUGCUGGGCUGUGGGCCGGACCACUGGGCUCUGGCUAGGCUGGGCCGAGCUGUGGCCCUCAGCUCCAUCACCACCCUCAGCCUGGACUACACACCCAUUGGACUGGAGGGGUUGGAAGGCCUGCUCCGUGCUAUGGAGGGGAACAACCAUGUGCUUUCCCUGAGUUUGUGUUACUGUGGACUGGGAGCUUGGAGCGGAUCUCCCCUCGCCUCCUUCGUCACCAACAGUGUGGUCCGGCACCUCUACAUCAAUGGCAACGAGCUGCAGAGAGGGGGCGCCACUGAGCUGCUGCAGCCUCUGGCAGAACAUGCAGCGCAGACCGCUAUGACUCAACAGCAGACCACAAAUCCCACAGAUCCCGCCAAUGAAAACUCCCGUAGCGGUUUAUCUCAGGACAGCGGGGCAGAGAGAGCAAAGGGCAAAGGUACCAAAGGGGUGUUUUGACCUCAGAUAACAGCCAAAAUACACUCACACACACUCAUAAAUACAAAGCCAUACUGUGCAUACUGUGACCACCUACCACAGAUGGAAUCACUGGCUCCAGAACACACACACACAUGCUGACACACACACACACACACACAGGCUGACACACACAUAGUUACCUUUAUACUUAUGUACUCCCACAUUCUUUGAGCAUCC
rnacentral:lncRNA from 1 species